GUCCUUUUGGAUUUUUAUUUAAGGUCUAGUCUGCCCACUGAAAUUAUAUUUUAAAUGGCCGCAGUAUUUUGACUGUGCAAAGGUAGCAUAAUCAUUAGUUUUUUAAUUAAAAGCUUGUAUGAAAGGCUGGACGAGGUAAAAUCUGUCUCUAUUUAAAUUAUAAUAGAAUUUAACUUUUAAGUUAAAAGGCUUAAAUGUUAUUAAAAGACGAGAAGACCCUAUAGAGCUUUAUAAUUUAUUAAAUAUAAUUAAUUUAGAAAUUUUUAUGUUUUAUUUAGUUAAAUUAUUUUAUUGGGGUAAUAGAAAGAUUGAAUUAAUUCUUUUUUAUUAUAAACAUUGAUUUAUGAAUAUUAAAUGAUCCAGUUUUACUGAUUAUAAGAUUAAGUUACCUUAGGGAUAACAGCGUAAUUUUUUUAGAGAGUUCAUAUCGAUAAAAAAGUUUGCGACCUCGAUGUUGGAUUAAAGAUUAUUUUAGGUGUAGAAGCUUAAUAAUUUUGGUCUGUUCGACCAUUAAAUCUUUAC
rnacentral:rRNA from 1 species